rnacentral:rRNA from 1 species
CCUACGGGUGGCUGCAGUGAGGAAUAUUGGUCAAUGGGCGCGAGCCUGAACCAGCCAAGUAGCGUGAAGGAUGACUGCCCUACGGGUUGUAAACUUCUUUUAUAAGGGAAUAACGUGAGCCACGUGUGCCUUUUUUUAUGUACUUUAUAAAUAAGGAUCGGCUAACUCCGUGCCAGCAGCCGCGUUAAUACGGAGGAUCCGAGCGUUAUCCGGAUUUAUUGGGUUUAAAGGGAGCGUAGAUGGGUGGUUAAGUCAGUUGUGAAAGUUUGAGGCUCAACCGUAAAAUUGCAAUUGAUACUGGCAGUCUUGAGUACAGUUGAGGUAGGCGGAAUGCGUGGUGUAGCGGUGAAAUGCUUAGAUAUCACGAAGAACUCCGAUUGCGAAGGCAGCCUACUAAACUGCCACUGACAUUGAUGCUCGAAAGUGUGGGUAUCAAACAGGAUUAGAUACCCGUGUAGUC